rnacentral:rRNA from 1 species
AGAGUUUGAUCCUGGCUCAGGAUGAACGCUGGCGGCGUGCUUAACACAUGCAAGUCGAACGAACCUUCGGGUUAGUGGCGGACGGGUGAGUAACGCGUGAGAAUCUGCCCUCAGGAGGGGGAUAACGGCUGGAAACGGCCGCUAAUACCCCAUAUGCCGAGAGGUGAAACGAGUUUUCGCCUGAGGAUGAGCUCGCGUCUGAUUAGCUAGUUGGUGGGGUAAGAGCCUACCAAGGCAUCGAUCAGUAGCUGGUCUGAGAGGAUGAUCAGCCACACUGGGACUGAGACACGGCCCAGACUCCUACGGGAGGCAGCAGUGGGGAAUUUUCCGCAAUGGGCGAAAGCCUGACGGAGCAACGCCGCGUGAGGGAUGAAGGCCUCUGGGCUGUAAACCUCUUUUAUCAAGGAAGAAGAUCUGACGGUACUUGAUGAAUAAGCCACGGCUAAUUCCGUGCCAGCAGCCGCGGUAAUACGGGAGUGGCAAGCGUUAUCCGGAAUUAUUGGGCGUAAAGCGUCCGCAGGCGGCCUGAUAAGUCUGUUGUCAAAGCGUGGAGCUCAACUCCAUUUCGGCAAUGGAAACUGUGAGGCUUGAGUGUGGUAGGGGCAGAGGGAAUUCCCGGUGUAGCGGUGAAAUGCGUAGAUAUCGGGAAGAACACCAGUGGCGAAGGCGCUCUGCUGGGCCAUAACUGACGCUCAUGGACGAAAGCCAGGGGAGCGAAAGGGAUUAGAUACCCCUGUAGUCCUGGCCGUAAACGAUGAACACUAGGUGUCGGGGGAAUCGACCCCCUCGGUGUCGUAGCCAACGCGUUAAGUGUUCCGCCUGGGGAGUACGCACGCAAGUGUGAAACUCAAAGGAAUUGACGGGGGCCCGCACAAGCGGUGGAGUAUGUGGUUUAAUUCGAUGCAACGCGAAGAACCUUACCAGGGUUUGACAUCCUGCGAAUCCCUUGGAAACGAGGGAGUGCCUUCGGGAGCGCAGAGACAGGUGGUGCAUGGCUGUCGUCACCUCGUGUCGUGAGAUGUUGGGUUAAGUCCCGCAACGAGCGCAACCCACGUCUUUAGUUGCCAGCAUUGAGUUGGGCACUCUAGAGAGACCGCCGGUGAUAAACCGGAGGAAGGUGUGGAUGACGUCAAGUCAUCAUGCCCCUUACAUCCUGGGCUACACACGUACUACAAUGCUACGGACAAAGGGCAGCAAACUCGCGAGAGCUAGCAAAUCCCAUAAACCGUGGCUCAGUUCAGAUCGUAGGCUGCAACUCGCCUACGUGAAGGAGGAAUCGCUAGUAAUCGCAGGUCAGCAUACUGCGGUGAAUACGUUCCCGGGCCUUGUACACACCGCCCGUCACACCAUGGAAGUUGGCCACGCCCGAAGCCGUUACUCCAACCCUUGUGGAGGAGGACGUCGAAGGUGGGGCUGAUGACUGGGGUGAAGUC